GCGCGGUUAGCUCAGCUGGUAGAGCACAUGCUUGACGUGCAUGGGGUCAUAGGUUCGAGUCCUGUACCGCGCACCA
rnacentral:tRNA from 2 species